AGUGAACGCUGGCGGUAUGCCUAAUACAUGCAAGUCGAACGGCAGCACAGGAAGAUCUUGCUCUUACGGGUGGCGAGUGGCGGACGGGUGAGGAAUACAUCGGAAUCUACUUUGUCGUGGGUGAUUACGUAGGGAAGCUGACGCUAAUACCGCAUACGACCUACGGGUGAAAGCAGGGGUUCUUCGGAGCUUUCCCGACUGAAUGAGCCGAUGUCGGAUUAGCUAGUUGGUGGGGUAAGGGCCCACCAAGGCAACGAUCCGUAGCUGGUCUGAGAGGAUGAUCAGCCACACUGGAACUGAGACACGGUCCAGACUCCUACGGGAGGCAGCAGUGGGGAAUAUUGGACAAUGGGCGAAAGCCUGAUCCAGCCAUACCGCGUGGGUGAAGAAGGCCUUCGGGUUGUAAAGCCCUUUUGUUGGGAAAGAAAAGCAGCAGAUUAAUACCCCGCUGUUCUGACGGUACCCAAAGAGAAAGCACCGGCUAACUUCGUG
rnacentral:rRNA from 1 species